GCUGAGUAAAAUGCUUCGCCCACUGAGUAGGCUUAACUUUAAAAACACAUGAAGAAACAGGUUUUGGAGAACUGUGUAGAUUUUGAUCUUUGGGAGCAGCUUUUUCUUGAAACACAGGAGCACAGACAGAAGCAGCUCUUGUCAGCAGCAUGAAUCUUUUGGAAUCCCUGCUGGUUUAAAAGGAAUUGGGGAUCAUAAGAGGCAAAGAGGAAAGAAAUCUGGUCUUCUUUCCAGAGUUGUACAUCUCUAAUUCCCUUUGAUAUUUUGCUCAGCAUUUGAUUAAAUCUUUUUCUGUAUUCUGGUCUCCCUAAUCAGAGACAGUUUGCAAUACCUCUGUCUGAAGUUACCUUCAGUCUGCUUCUGGAAUCUUGCAGAACAGAACAAGGAUCUGGCAGAAUUAUCAUUCAUAACCAAGGAGCUAUUUAAGGUUUUCCUCCAACACUCUUUCUGUGCCAUGCCCUCCAAAAGACAUCAGAGAGAGACAAUGGAUCUCAAACCAGCUACAACUCAAAUCUGGACUCAGUACAAGACCCAGAUUUUACAGUUCCCUACUUUGUACAACAAGAAGACAGAACACAUAGGAUGUUAGAUUGCUCAAGCGUGAUUGGUGGUAUUUUCACUUGACUUUGUUUAUAGGUAAAGAAAACACAUUGAUUUAAAACAUGACAUUAAUGGAAAUAUUUACAGAAGUUUUAGACUUUGGAUUCCACACAUUCUCCCUUUUAUUCUGCAAGUCUUCCUUCUUUAAGUGCAUAUCUUCUAAAUGACAAGAAAAUAAUAAACAAGCCUCACCUCAUUUACCAAGCAAUAGAGCACUUGAUGGACCAAUCUAAGUCAGUUACACCAUAGCAAGUCUUCCAUCUAUGAACUGGACCUCAUUGCCCCCUGUAAACCCCUGUGUUUUCUGCAGUUUUACUCAGGUGACUGCAGCCUAUUAAACAGCUCUGUUGGUCUGUGACAUACAGGGGAGAUGAAUGAAUGAUUCUGUCCUUCUGUGACCCUCUGAGCCCAGGAAUAUGCAACCUGGAGUGAAAAAGAAAAGAAGGAACCCUCCACUCACAGGCAGCAUGAAGAACAGGUUUCAGCAGACUUUCAGAAGUCCCAGAUGAACUGAGAUUUGCACUUUUAUGCUUGAGGAUCAUCAGUAUGCAAGAAAAGGAAAAGGACGUCACUCGCUGUCACCCAAUCAUUCAUUGUCAUCUGCUUCUGACAGCAGGCAGACUUGGACUGAGUUACUGCCACACAUUUUCAGCAUCUGAACAAAUGGGAAAACUUGGACACUCCACAGUGCUAACUUACAUAUGCAAAUGGUGUUGAUGUAGGCCAAUGUGUGGAAUGCAGAGCAGUGUUUGGGCCUGAUGUAUUAAAUGAUCACCACUUUCUCAGGAGGAACAGGUCCAGCGAUCAAAUAAGUAAUGUUGGUUGUAACUGAGCUAAAGAAGUGAAAACCUGAGACAAUCUUUAGGCAGCAGACUUGGAAACUUUCACAGAAUUAUUGAAAUGGAGGAGAAAGUCGUCCUUUGCCGUGUGUCUAGUGGUGCCUGGUGUUGAUGACUGCCUGUAAUAGAUGCUUGAGUCUUAAUGAGCAGCUCCUCUGUAUGUUUAUUUAUACUUUCAAGCUACAGUUUAUGUAUGUCUGGUAAUGGUGAAAAAUGUCUUCCAGGUGCAGCAUAAUGUAAAUGUGGAAGACAAAGCUCUGAGGGACAGAAAGCUCUGAGUUUUGCAGCUGACAGCUGCAUGUGUGAUGUCCCCUGCUGGAGUAGUUUAAUACAGACCACAAUCAAUUAAUUAUGUUUAUAGUUUGUGGAGAGCACUGCAAAGACAGUUAGGUACAGUAAGAAAAGCAGUUUUGGAAAGGCAUAGAUGGAAAUGCAUACAUUCUUUACUUAAAAUAGCUGCUACUUAUAUCACUAAUAUCUUAAAUUAUCGGAAUGAGAAAAAUUAUAUGCCCUCAUGUGCACUUUUGCAUCUUCCUUCUUUUGACAUUUAAAUUGUUGAAAAGAGUAAAAAUAAUUUGAGUGCAGUUCUUCUGUGAACUGUGUCUGGAUGAAAAGAGCAUUUUAGAGUUCACUGCUUGUGUCAGUGAAUUCCAGAUCAGAUCUGAUUUCAUUUGCACAGAAAAUGUAAAGAUGACUUAAUCUGAUAUAAGUUUAUAUUAUUUAUUUUUAGAUUGAUAUGCCAUAACACAUUGCUGUAAAUUGAGGAAUUUAAUUCCUGAUCUUGGGGGAAAAAAAAUGUAAUCUGUGGAGUAAUAUUCUUUCUUUCUCCACCACAUUAUUUUCUGCUUAUUUGUCAACAUCCUUUAAUGAGGAAUUUGGCAGGGAAAAUGCUCUGAUCAUUUUGCUUUUUUAACUGUAUUGAGAGGAAGAGAACACUCAUUCUCCCACAGAGGUAGUUCUAAUGUGAUAAAAGAAGUUUAAAUCAGAACAAACAGCACCCAAUUUGCAGGCUUUGCAAGCAUCCAGCUGAGGAACUAAAUUUCUGAGCACGUGUAGAUUUACACCUCCUUUUUAAACAAUUUGCAGCUACUGCAUUUUGAUCUAACAAUAGAUAUUAUCUCUCAAAUCGUCCCAUUGUUAACCUAUAAAUAAGAAUUAUUAGAUCUAGCACUUCUCAAUACACUGGACCCAACUGCCAGCAUGCUGCAUUUCCAGAAUGGGAGGGUGUCUUUGCCCAGAAUGCAAAGAUGCAGCACCAGGAACCACUGCACCACACCUGCAAUUUCUGCAUUCCAGCCAGAGCAAGGCAGAGAGCAGGGUGUGCCAGAGGCUGGCUCAAGCAGCUGAUUGGGAUAUUGGCUGCUUUGUCAACAGUUGUUUUGGCCAAACUGUCUUCAAUAGAGAGCUGGCCUUGAGCAGCUAUUGUGGAGCGGCUUCUUUCAAUUAGCUCUCCAAAGGGAUGCUUCAUCCCACACUGAGAGCCCAUUUGUGUGGUUUUGGAGCAGUCCAAACUGUCACUCCCCCAGCACUCUCAGAGCAGGAAAAGCUCAGAAAUAGCCUAGAAAAUAUGUUGCGCCUAUCUGAUGUCCAUCCUUGACAGCCUUCCAGCUAAAUCACAAGGAAGAUGGGAUGAAAAUAUCCACUGUUUGAGGGUUUAUAUUUUUCUUAUGGAUUUAGAGGGCUCCCUGUGUACCACAGUUGGAAGCAAUGUCAAAAUAUCAAUAAAGAAAUCUCCAAACUUGCAAACCUACUUAAAUAUCUAUUUUGCACUGACUUGUGGCCGGUCUCCAGGCUUGCUCAGGGCUACAGGGUCUAAAUCCUCUUGUUUUAAGCCAAUUCAGCAUUUUCCUCAUUCAUAUUUUAUAUUUUCUUCAUUCACAGUCCUUCCUGUGUUCUACUUUUGCUCCUUAAGGUAUCAACUUUAGUACUCAGUUACAGUCAGAAAAUACCAACACUUUUUAUCCACUCAGAUCUGUGAUGAACAGGAAUGAAAAAGUGCCCACUAGCAAUUUCCCAUUUGCUGUGCACUGCAGUAUUGCAUUCCUGCCACUGUGUACUGUUCUGUGAGACUCUUAAAUUAAACUAAUUAAUGUGAUUUAGGGUGAUGCCUGUUUACCAAGCAGGAGCCACAAGAGAGUUUUCUUCUCUGUCCUGUCACCAGGAGUCUCCCUUCCAGGUAAGAGCCUCUCUGUUGCACAAAUAGCUCUUCUCUGUGCUUUUUGUAGCUGGGGUUUUGUGAGGGGAAGGCAGUUUAUUGUUCUUAGUCUGAUGUAAAUGUACCUUAAGAAUUUGAGAAACCUUGAGGAUAAAAGUGAUAUGUAAGCACAGACUCUCUCUUAGUGGUUUUUUCUUGCUAGGGCUCUUUAAAACCUAGUUUCUUGGGGCUAAUAGCCUAAUAAAUUAGAUAGGUCAGUUCAGUUUCUUGAGAAUUAUUGAAGGGAGAGGCCUCCAGGCAGAGGUUUUAUUUGCACCUGUUUAUCUGUGAGGGGUUUUUUCAGAUAGUUUUUUUAAGGACCAGGAGCUAAAAGCUCCUUUUCAGUUUUCUUUCACCUCCCCAAAUGAAAGCUGUAUUUCCUUUAACCAUGGUAUUUUCUUGA